rnacentral:lncRNA from 10 species
GCGCAGAACGCGGCGGUCAGCUGCGCCCGGCCUGAAGUUGUCCCAACCGCGGCCGCGUCGGUCGCCCUUUUGACUUGCAGCAGGGCGGGCAGAGCGACUUAGAGGAAAAGUGACUUUUUGUACCCUCCUGCAGGGAGCAGGUUCUCUGUCCUUGUUUAAUUAGACAUUUCUCAGAGAAUCCUGCCUCUGCUCUGAAGCCUUUCUGUUCGCUCCAGUGAAAAUUAGUCAUCCACCGGGCGCGGUGGCUCACGCCUGCAAUCCCAGCACUUUGGGAGGCCGAGAUUCUCCUCAACCAUGAUGAAUAAUGCCUGGGAGAGGGGAAGAAGUAAUGGAAGCCUGCACGGGUGGCCCCAAGGCAGGCAGUCCUUGGACUCCCUGGACUGCGGCUGUCCUUGACCUCACUGCUGGGGCAUGUAAAAGGAACGACUCAGAGUCUAACAGGCCACAGUCUGGGCUUGAUGUUCACCGAUUUUCCCUCAGCUCCGACUGUGGCUCCUCUCAGCUGACUCUGACCCUGCUCUCAGCCGGGCUGCAUCUGCCCAUCUCAGCACAUCAAUAAACAGCAGAGGGAAACUACCACCUUGGAAGGAGCCAGGCAGUUUCUGCUGGGUAGGCCGCAGCCUGGAACAUGGAAGUAGCUUCUUCCAUCCUACACUGGAAACCACCCAGCAUCCCGGGCCCUCCAGAGAAGAGCCAGACUCCCUUCCCUGGGAAGAGACUAUAGUCCUAUCUGUAUCCUCCGUGGUCAUUGCCCCUCAGUCACAGCAAUGAAGAGCAAAUUACCUGUUUUCUGUAUGUUCCUCUGACAACAACUGCCACAGAGUAAAUAUGAAAGGUUCUGGAUGAUUCCUUGUCAGCUUUUAUUAAAAUUCCACAUACUUGGCA